GCCUGGCUGGCUCAGUCAGUAGAGCAUGGGACUCUUGAUCUUUGGGUCAUGAGUUCAAGCCCCACGAUGGGCA
rnacentral:tRNA from 1 species